AUGUUACCGCAAUAGUAAUUGAACUUAGUACGAGAGGAACAGUUCAUUCGGAUAAUUGGUUUUUGCGGCUGUCUGAUCAGGCAUUGCCGCGAAGCUACCAUCCGCUGGAUUAUGGCUGAACGCCUCUAAGUCAGAAUCCAUGCUAGAACGCGGUGAUUUCUUUGCUCCACACAAUAUAGAUGGAUACGAAUAAGGCGUCCUUGUGGCGUCGCUGAACCAUAGCAGGCUAGCAACGGUGCACUUGGCGGAAAGGCCUUGGGUGCUUGCUGGCGAAUUGCAAUGUCAUUUUGCGUGGGGAUAAAUCAUUUGUAUACGACUUAGAUGUACAACGGGGUAUUGUAAGCAGUAGAGUAGCCUUGUUGUUACGAUCUGCUGAGAUUAAGCCUUUGUUGUCUGAUUU
rnacentral:rRNA from 16 species